rnacentral:lncRNA from 1 species
UCCUUCCAAACUCGAGUGAUCUUGAUGAAGUUCUGUUAUCUGAAACCAAAAACAAACAAACUUUCUCCAUUGAAACAACCCAUAAGAACAACUAGUCGAGUGUCAGCAGGACAUUCAAAUGAAACUCACCAGAACCCAUGCCAGAGGUAUUGUAGUUCAUAAUAACUGGUUACAAUGGUGUUUCUGUAUAGUGUAUACUGCUGCUGAACUCCUGCAAUGAAGAACAACAACAAGAAAAGCACCACUAUUUAUAACCUUGAGCAAGUGACUGAAACUAAUAAAAUAAAAGGGUGGAGCAGAAUUUACAGAAACAACCAUCAAUCUACAUCAGCAGAAAACCUCAUCUCGUGAGAAAGAAAGAACAAAAUUCUUAGAAAGUGAGAGGAGCACUCAAGAAAGAAUGAAUAGACAUCAAUCGAUUAACAAUGUGAAAAAAGUAGCUACCCUUUCGAGCUAAGAAUCCUUACUAAGUGAUCAUCAAAGCAUAUCAAUAGCAAAAGAAGAAAUCAAAGCUAACUAAUCUAAGCUUUCUGUCAAUGUGAAGAGAAACAAUAGAGGAAUCAGUUCUCUUAUAGUGACAAACCCCAAACGAAUAAAAAGAUUUAUCCUUUCGUAAUCUUAUGUUAUUUUAAUGGCGGAUGAACAAACCCCAUUUUCCUACAUACUGAAAUCUAGAAGUAAUUUGAACGGAGGGGAAUGAAAGGCUACCCAGCAAAGCAGAAGCGAUGAGAAUGCAGACGUUUCUAUUCGCAAGCUGGCAACUUUGAAUCAAACCCAGAAAAAAAAGGUUCUGGGAUUUUCGGGGUAAAGGAUUUCACUUUCCUCUUCUUCUUCUUCUUCUUC